CCUGAGUUUACAAACUCCCAAACCCAUUGUGAACCUUACCUACUGUUGCCUCGGCGGGAGCGCGGCCCACAGGGGCCGUCGCAGCCCCGACCAGCCCCGUCGGGGGAGGACCCAACCUUUGUAUACCCCGCCGGAGGGUUUUAUAAAUCUGAGCCUUACAUCGGCCUCUCUGCGUAGGCGUUUCUAAAAUAAGUCA
rnacentral:misc_RNA from 1 species